CUCAACCUGUGCAUACUCUGAGCAUUUACAUAAAUAAAGUCCCUCUGUGGGAUCUCAUCAAGCCUCAAAGGGCUAUACAACAUAUGGUGAGUUGGUUUACAUAAACAUAGAGAUCAUGUAAAGAUACAAAUGGGAUUAACAACAUACUAUGGUCAAGCACAACUCUAACCUCAAUAACAUUAAUACAUAAAGGGACUAUUCAAAAAUACAUCAUUUUACAAAUUUGUCAUGUCCACAAUCUAUCUAUUACAAACAUGUGACUUUUCUCUUCAUAGCCUUCUCUAUCUAUCCCGUACCUGCAAACCUGGGGGUUAGGGGAGAGGGGUGAGCUAGAUGCCCAGUGAGUAGAACUAUAUAAAAAGAACUCUUAAAACAUGUUAUCAUGGAAUGCAUCACUGCACAAACAUUUCACAUCAUGGACGGACUGACCCAAAAAUCCCUCAGCUCCAUGCCCGGCCCUAUUAUGGGCACCACAGGACUUCGUAUUGCCCGGCCCUAUUAUGGGCACCACAGGACUUCGUAGAUCGGAGCUAUUGCCCGGCCCUAUUAUGGGCACCACAGGACUUCGUACAAAGGGCUAAUGAGUCGUGCAAUGUCCAUCCCCCAUCAACAACAAAUAAUAAUGCAAUGCAACAUAAUUCGUGAUUCUAAUGCAAACAACCUAUAAUAUAAUCAUGAUGCAUGAAGCAUGGUAAAAACAUUUAGUUUCUUAAUUUAAAAGGUUAAGUAUAGUCCCACUCACCUCUGGCUGACUCUGACAACUCUGUAGCAGCUGGCUCACUGCUGUGGUCCUUGGUUCCUCGGGUCCGAACCUACACAGGUGGACUCCAAUGAGGGACCAAACAUAUAUAAACAUGACUCUAAUAUAUCCCCCAAAAACCCCCUAAAACAUCAUGAAAACAUCACAUAAAAUAUGCAAGAAAUGGCUGAACAGGGCACCUUCGGCGGCACCUUCGGCGGCCGAAAGUCCUGGACAGAGACGAAACUCAGCUAGGUUCGGCGGCACCUUCGGCGGCCGAAAGUGCCAGACAGAGACGAAAGUCUCUUUUCGGGGGCAACUUCGGCAGCCGAAAGGCCUGCCUCCCCAGCCAUGUUCGGCGGCCGAAAGUACCUUCGGCUGCCGAACCUGGUUUCUGCCAAAGGGCAGAAACUUGACUCCCUUUGUCCAUUUCGCCUCUAAACUUACCAAUCAUGCAUAUUUUUCAACCAAAGCAUGCAUACAAGUUCCUAGGGGCCUCAAACAAGCAUAUACUCCAUCUACAACACUCCACAAUCACACAAACAAGCUACAUUGUUCAUCAAACAUAAAAAACCUAACAUUUUCUCAAAUAUACAAGUAUCCCUAAACAUGGCAUUCUACCCCUUUAAAACUUUGUAAAACUUGUUUAAAACACAUAAUAAGGGUGGAUCCGAGCUUACCUCUUGAAGACACGAGAGGAAACGACCUUAGCUCGGAAAUGGGGG
rnacentral:lncRNA from 1 species